AGAUUGAACGCUGGCGGCAGGCCUAACACAUGCAAGUCGAGCGGAUGAGUGGAGCUUGCUCCAUGAUUCAGCGGCGGACGGGUGAGUAAUGCCUAGGAAUCUGCCUGGUAGUGGGGGAUAACGUUUCGAAAGGAACGCUAAUACCGCAUACGUCCUACGGGAGAAAGUGGGGGAUCUUCGGACCUCACGCUAUCAGAUGAGCCUAGGUCGGAUUAGCUAGUUGGUGGGGUAAUGGCCCACCAAGGCGACGAUCCGUAACUGGUCUGAGAGGAUGAUCAGUCACACUGGAACUGAGACACGGUCCAGACUCCUACGGGAGGCAGCAGUGGGGAAUAUUGGACAAUGGGCGAAAGCCUGAUCCAGCCAUGCCGCGUGUGUGAAGAAGGUCUUCGGAUUGUAAAGCACUUUAAGUUGGGAGGAAGGGCAGUAAGUUAAUACCUUGCUGUUUGACGU
rnacentral:rRNA from 1 species